GAACUGAAGAGUUUGAUCAUGGCUCAGAUUGAACGCUGGCGGCAGGCCUAACACAUGCAAGUCGAGCGGAUGAAGGGAGCUUGCUCCUGGAUUCAGCGGCGGACGGGUGAGUAAUGCCUAGGAAUCUGCCUGGUAGUGGGGGAUAACGUCCGGAAACGGGCGCUAAUACCGCAUACGUCCUGAGGGAGAAAGUGGGGGAUCUUCGGACCUCACGCUAUCAGAUGAGCCUAGGUCGGAUUAGCUAGUUGGUGGGGUAAAGGCCUACCAAGGCGACGAUCCGUAACUGGUCUGAGAGGAUGAUCAGUCACACUGGAACUGAGACACGGUCCAGACUCCUACGGGAGGCAGCAGUGGGGAAUAUUGGACAAUGGGCGAAAGCCUGAUCCAGCCAUGCCGCGUGUGUGAAGAAGGUCUUCGGAUUGUAAAGCACUUUAAGUUGGGAGGAAGGGCAGUAAGUUAAUACCUUGCUGUUUUGACGUUACCAACAGAAUAAGCACCGGCUAACUUCGUGCCAGCAGCCGCGGUAAUACGAAGGGUGCAAGCGUUAAUCGGAAUUACUGGGCGUAAAGCGCGCGUAGGUGGUUCAGCAAGUUGGAUGUGAAAUCCCCGGGCUCAACCUGGGAACUGCAUCCAAAACUACUGAGCUAGAGUACGGUAGAGGGUGGUGGAAUUUCCUGUGUAGCGGUGAAAUGCGUAGAUAUAGGA
rnacentral:rRNA from 1 species